CAGUCUAUCAUUGUUGGACAUUUAGGUUGGUUCCAAGUCUUUGCUAUUGUGAAUAGUGCCACAAUAAACAUGUUUCAACUUUACAAAUAUCUUUGGGAGAAUUCCACACAAGUUUGGGCAGUAAAAGCUAUUCAGGCAACCUACAAAAUGGGAGAAAAUUUUCGCAACCUACUCAUCUGACAAAGGGCUAAUAUCCAGAAUCUACAAUGAACUCAAACAAAUUUACAAGAAAAAAACAAACAACCCCAUCAAAAAGUGGGCAAAGGACAUGAACAGACACUUCUCAAAAGAAGACAUUUAUGCAGCCAAAAAACACAUGAAAAAAUGCUCAUCAUCACUGGCCAUCAGAGAAAUGCA
rnacentral:lncRNA from 1 species